GGUGGCAGGAGGUGGGGCUGGAAGGAAGUGGGGCAGAUCACAGGGAAGGGGGAAGCUGGCCCAGGCAUCUGGAUUUUAUCCCAAAGCUCAUGAAUGUUAAAAGGCAGGUCCGAGGGUACCCUGGAGGACUUCCAUAGCAUCUUUAUCAGGCCUGAUGCCAUGGCCCCUAAAACUCAUUUGCUUUAUUGCUACCCGAAUACCCUUUACAAAUGCAAAUCCGAGCAAUGAGCACACUGCCUGCAACCCUCAGGGAUCCCGACUCUUACAGUGAAGACAGAGCUCUUCAAUACACCCUGUGGAAAGGCUGGCCAGAUUCUUCAUUUGAACCAUCUGUGGCAAAUUCUGCUUCCUGCUGGGACCCUGACUACGAUGGUGCCUAAAACAAACUGCUGGAGGAGGAGAGAGGUGGGAGCAGAGACUCCCUUCUGGGAUAGACCAGGAGGAGCUGACGCUUGUCUCCAAAUACAAGAAAGACGUCGGCAGGCAGAGAGGGCUGGGAGAGCAGCUUUCAGGCAUAGAGAACAGCAUCAGACCAAGAUGUGGAGGCAAGAGGAGGGUGGGCUUGUGGGCUAGCAAGGAGUCCAGUGUCUUCCUUCCUUCCUCCUUCCCUCCCUCCCUCCCUCUCCUUUCUUUCCUCUCUCUCUCACUCCCUCCUUUGUUUCUUCCUUUCCUUCUUUUUCUUUCUCCCCUCCUUCCUUCCUUUUUUGCUUCUUCCCUCCCUUCCUCCCUCCCUUCCUCCCUCCUUCCUUUCUUCCUCUCAGCACAUACUCCUGGAGCAUAUACCCCGCUCUGUGCCAGGCACUGUUCUAAGCACUGCAUAAAUAGCAGCAAACAGACAACUUUUCUGCCCUCAUGGAUGUUCCAUUCUCAUGGGGGAAGACUGUUAACAAGCAAUGGAUGCAUUUACACUAUGACAAGUGUGUAUAAUAUGACAGUGGAGGAAAAUAAA
rnacentral:lncRNA from 1 species